UAAUUAUAAAAAGUUAUACAAAAAAUUCUGAAAAAAAUUUUUUAUUAAAACACUUUUUAGAAUUUGUAAUACAAUUUUUCAUAAUUUUUUAUAAACUUGAAAACUUUUCAGAAUGUCUAUAUAAUUAUCAGAAAUAUGUAACAGGUAAAGGUUCAGAAAAGGUUUAGAAUAAAACCUAUUUUGCUACUUUAACUACUAUACGAAUCAACCUAUUUUAACGCUAAAAACAGUGAAACAAAAAAUUUCAGACAUUAUAAGGGUCAAAGUUAUAGUAACAAAUCGUAUUACUCUAAUCGAACCUAUUUCCAUAUCUUUAGCUCCUACUAUGUUUUAGAAUUAAAGGUUUAAUGUAGGGUCAAAAUUCCGACUCGGGAGAGUGCGCGCGUAUACACACGGGGCCCGCUUCCUCCUCGCGUGCUCGACGCCACUGGCCGCCGUCGCCGCCGAUGCUCUCGUGGUGGUUCGCCGCGCCGCGCCGCGCCGCGCCGCGCCGGGCCCCGGCCUGGCCCGAGUAGCAAGUCACCUCCGCUCACCUCGGCGGAGCGCGCGCGUGAGCCCGACUUCAGUUCGCGCUCCGGCCCCGAGUCGUUGUGCAGCACGGACCGUGCAGCAGGCGAAAGCAAGCGAGGCGAGGCAGGCAGGCAGGCAGGCAGGCAGGCAGGCGGAUGGGCCGGCCGCUGUCGCGCGCGGUCCUAGACGACGACGACGACGACGACGACACGCAACGCACGCAUGUACGCGUUGCCGCCGUUGCUGCGAGCAGAUUCGCUCGCGCCCGUGCACACGAGCGAGAGGCGGACUGACGGGCACGUGACAUACGGGAUUGUCGCGCGCGACCGAAACGCGCGCACGUUAUUAUUAUUGCCUGCGGCAGUGUGAGAUAUCGGGGGGGAUAUCGGGGCGCGACUCGCGCGGGGGAUAGCGAGACGACGUCUGAAAUCGGCGUCCGGUGACUCUUCACCCUGGCGAUUGGACAUCCAUUUUAGGAUUAGAAGAUGUAGAAGAGGAGAAGGAGGAGGAGGAAACGGAAGAUUUCUCUGCGGUGAGUGCCUCCGCAGGGAUUCCUGCGCAGGAGCGGAGCGCGGUAUUAUGUCACACUCCCACGCGAGCGACGGCCGCCGCCGUCGCCGCCGCCGCGGCUGCUGCUGCUGCUGCUGCUGUUGUUGCUGCAAGUCCCAACAUCCUCGUCGCUUGACAUUUCCGCGGCUGUGCGACGCACACGCAACCCCAUUGUGAAUGUUACAGUGCGUUAUUCGUUUCGCCGCUGACAACACGGCUCGCUCGCAGACGAGGGACUCUUUCUUCUCUUUUCUUUUGCCCAUCGUAAUUUGACAGUGACACCCACACUCGGCUCUCGCGAACCGAGCGGUUCGCGCGCGAUCGAUCGAUCGAACGCGCGCGCGCGGCCCACGUUCGAUUCCCGCCUCGGCUCGAGGGGGAAAAAACGAAACGGUUCCCCCCCGGACCGUUCGCGCCUCGAUCAUCAUCCGACGGCGACGACGACGACGACUUUGCCGUGGCCCAACUUCGCCCUCGUGGGAGGAGACGACAAAGGCGGCGCGCGUGCCCCCCGCCGAAGGCGAAGAGGUACACCAAAGUCACCGGAGGAUCGGCAGAACAUCCUCGCGCCUCGUCACCG